CUCUCGUUCUCCUCCUGUGUGCGCCGCCGCAGCCGCGCACAGGGUUCUUUUGGUUCUCCGGCCAAGGCGCCCCACCUCCAGUGUCCCCCAGCUUCCUCCACCUCAGCCACCUCCUCUCUGUUGUUUCUCCAAGGCUACGGCAUGGUGCUCGACUGCUGCGGCAAAGGAGGUGACCGUGCACGAGCGGACCAGUUCAAUGCAGGCAGGAGCACGGAACAGCGGCAGCAGCAUCAAGGGCGACAAAGAUGGUUCGAACUGAUGUUAGUAGUGUUAUAAUGUUACGUUGGAGGCUGAUGGUUGUUGGACAGAUGCAGUUUUAUUAAUCCCUAGAGCUUAUUUGCUAAAUAUUGUAUAAUUCUCCUGAUGGUUCUUGCUUUGCUGUACUUAUGCUCUGUUUCAUUUCAAAUUUUGUUCAAAUUUCGCCAAAUUUCAUCCAAAAAUUCAAAUUUUGUUUGUGAAAUUUCGUCCGAGAUUUUGCUGAAAUAUUUGAAAUGUCCGAAAUUCGGCCAUUUCGGCCAAGGACGAAAAAUGAUUCAAACCGAAAGUCAAAACACAGGUUGUGCAUGCUUUCAAUGCUUUGAGACUUUCCUUACACAAGCUAACUAGCAAAAAAAUAUUAAGUUUUCUCGUAUUCCCCUUCGUCUUGAUCGCGAUGCACAAGCUAAGACGACUUAUACACCUAGACGGAGGGAGUAGUGUUUUUCAACCGAUAUUUUGGCUUGCUAUUUCGAGGCAAAAUGUACCCCAAGUCGCCAAGAAAACACUUGGGACAUGCUAGAAGCACAAGAGUUUGACGCCGAGCUAGCACUCUAUUUCCCACCAGAACAUUUCCAGACGCGGGUUCCCACCAAAUGAUCACUAUAGUAAGCGUUGUCGACAUAAUUGGACUCCAUGAAGACCAUUUCAAGGAAUUAACAGACGGACGAGGAGUAACAAACAAGGUAGAGAUCUUUGGAAGGAGGCUAGAAAUCUCUCGACAGAGCCAGUCAUGUCUGUGAAGGGGACAUUGCAACGCCUGGCAGGAUAUAGGUUCCAAGUAAUCUCCAAUUUGGCAGACACUUAAACUAAUCCUACUAGUUCUUAUAACCUGCAAUUGGGCAGGAAACUAUGUCCAACAACUUAUACAUUAAUCUUACCGAGAUCUCAGUGACAUGGUUUUGAGACACAUCAGUACAUUGAUAAAUUAUUAAUGCGGCGGAUUUAGCCUUGUUCAAGCUUUGGAAGUACUACAAAAAAUGGCAACAUGCUCCAAAUAUAGAUACUCCAUAACAAGUUCCCUGAUGUACUUUUAACUAUUUUGAUCAGGAAAAUCAACCUGGUAGGCCCCAUGCAUGCAUUGUAUACUACUACUAGAACAAUCAACUGUCCAAUUGGUGCGGCCAUGCAUGUCGACAUACAGCGUGAAAGAUCGUCACCACAAUGGCGUCAUGCACGCGCAUCGCCCGGUGACCAAUUAUGUUUGGGUCCAACGGCGCGCUUUGCUGUUGCAAUCUCUAUUCUUAAUGAACGAAUUGGUUGAAUAGUCCUUGCACUUUCGUCUGGUUUUUUUCGUCCGGUUUAUUUUCUCUCACCUUCCCUCACCACUCCCAUGUUAAUUUUUUUUUCUUCACACUUAAAACCGAAUCGUGUCUGAUACUCCUUCCAUUUAUUCGUGUUUGCUUUGGCAGGUGUCGAUUUAAUUCAAUCAUGUAAAUAUUUGGUAAUUAAGAAUUCAAAAAUAAUACCAUAUACAGGAGAUCACCUUCCAAACAAAUCACCUCCCUCUUCGAUUUAUUUCUCCCACCGAUCUUCUUCCAUACUUAGCUCCGCUCGGAAAAACAUACAGCCGUCGAAGCCACCGAUCUCUUUCCAUACUUAGCUCCACCUUCGCUCCCUCCCACACACUUUUACGUAGCCCAAGAAAUCCUCUCGCACGAUCCUCGCAAUAACUACAGAAUAUAUCCUUCCCCAAUUAUCGCUUUCCUUGCCCGAGCGAGAUCGUGGUCCCUUCUCCCCUCCUCCCUCCCACAGCUCGCUCAGGUUUUCUUCCGCUACACCUAUCCUCUUCCGGCCUCUUCCUGGAGCCCUCGGCUUCUUGCUCGUAGGAAUCGGAGGCGGUGACGCUCGACGUUGUCACGUCGAGGCUGGAUCUAGGGGACAGGCAGGCGGCGCUCGUCACGGGAAGAGGAGCAUGUAACUCAUGGAGUCAAAGCUUGUGUGGGGCCGUUUGGCGACGCUCGACCGCGGCAGGGAGGCGAGGACGCGUGAACGCAUAUGUGCCUGCUCGCCGAGCGUCGCGACGUUGACGGGCUGGGGCUUGAUGUCGAGGCCCUCCGCUUCCUGCACCUCUUCGUGUCGAUGGCCAGAGGCACACACCGGUACUAGAAACACGAUGGCCAGAGAUGAUGAUCCAAAAUGCAUAGAAACAUGGGUAGAGAUGGGAAACUGUGAAAGCGAUGGGAACUAUCUGGAAUACAGGAUUGAGCGAUCUAGCAGAUACUUAUGAACUUCUGAAGCUCGGUUGUUCAGAUUAUCAUGGAUGAGAUGAUAAGGAAGCGCCUGAUAUAGCUUUCAAAAUUGAAGUUGGGUCGCCGAAUUGAGGCCAAGGCCCAUGUUGUUCUGCAUUUUUACAGAUGGUCUUCUGUGAUCAAAUUGGCGUCUCAAUUUCAACAAGGAUGCUGAUAUGAUGAUUGAGGAAAUGAAGCUUAGAGUUGUCUACACAUUGCCCAGUGGAAGCUCAGACAACAACGGAGUUACAUCUUUGGCAUACAGGAGCUUCAGGAACUUCAGGCAGGGCACUAUGAUUUCUCGGUGAGAUUGGCUAGCUUUAUGUUCUAUGUAGGAAACAUAUGUUUUGCUAAUAAAUUUGUAGUGCAAAGGCUAACUGUAUCUGCACAAGAGCCGAACCUGAAGAAGUUGAGGGCCCAUGCAGCGAUUUCAGAACCUAGGGAAAACUAGACUGACUGGUCUUCAAGAAAUAAAGGGCAACAGUAAAAAAUUAUCCAUUUAUAUUGAAUUAGGAACAAUCUUCUAGCACACACAUCUGGUUUGACAUUUUGACAUUUAUAUGGAUAGAAACAUGAGCAGACGCCUACGACCAGACGCCAUCGCUUCACACGGUCGCCUUUCGGCCAUAAGAUUCACCGGCGGGGUACUUGGAGCAGGGAGCCACGGAUAGAAACUGACACACCUUAUAUGCAUUAUGCGGAACAAUCGGUACUACUUGUUUUAGGAGUAUGGUUCAAAAAUUUGGUACCGACAAUGAUUAGGUUCCAACGAUUCAGUAACCCUUAUUUAUAUGCAGGAUAAAUUCAGUAGGAAAAGUAACCAACAGAAUCUGGGUACAAUAAAAUGGAAACAAAUUACUUCUAGCCCGAACAUUAAAUUCCAGCAUAAUUCUUUUGUGUCAUUAUGUGUGUCUGGGUGUAACAUAUGCAACUUUGAAGGUGACGCUGGCGAGGCAUUACUAUAUCUUUCUAAGCUUCCACUCUGUGUUAUUUUGUUUGUUCUGGAGAUUCAUAAAUAUUUCUAUUUUCCGCUUCAGUAUUCACUGAAAGGCUGGACUACGUUUACCUUUUGUUCUUUAAAAUGGUAGUGUUUGUAAUUCGUUUCCCGACAUUUUGUGCAUCUUCUCGAUUCUGGUGGAUUGAACUCAUGUAAGCUAGCUUUGUAACAUUUGGCUGCACGUAUAAACUGAUCUUAACACAUCCGUUUGGACUUUUGAUUUUAUUUUGUCCUCGUAAUUUGCAGAUUCACAUUUUUCCCACCUUUUUGUUUGUUAGUAAAAUACUUUAGAACUUAUAUACUAGCAAUAGAAUAUUAGGACAAACUUUGGGUGGCACUAGGUGCAGCAAAAAAUGGUGCCAUGGCAGCGGAAUUGGACUGACGCUACAGUUCCCACUUUUAAAGGUUCGGUUGACCUUUUCCAUGUCAUUUAUCUUGUGAUUGUAGCCCAUUUCUUUUGUAAGUGAUCAACAUUAAUACUUGGUUUUGUUACUCAAGGAUGUUGGACACUGGUUAAGUAUUACAGGCGGAUUAUGUUGGCUUAGUUUGCUACAAUUUAUGCCCGUUAAGAGAAUAGUGGAUACAACUAUAAUAUCUAUGUAGUGCAUUUUUUAGUAAUGUAGAAGCUUCUAAAUUAUUGACUGUGAGUAUCUCACACAAACUUAUCUACUUUUUCUAUGCUUUGUGAUUCUAUCGUGCCCUAUCUUUAGAAGUCACUCUGAUUCAGUUAAUUCAAUGCCCAGCAAUAUCAUCAAUUCAACAAGCAGUUACUCGAAAUUCCAUCGCCCCAAAUGGCAUAGGAUACCUCGGGCGUCCAACUUCUGGCAUAAGUUUUUGUGCAUUCAAAAAUUUAGGAACCUGAACCACAAGGGCAAAUGGAAGGCACCUUUGAUCGGUAAUCCAGAGUACAUGGAUGAUUCUUACACCUAUGCUUUUGAUAGGCUGAUGCACAUUGGCGUUGAGCCAAGGUAGGUUAGUGCUUCACAAGGACCAGCUCUAAGCAUGACUUGUGCAGAUAUGGGAAAGAAGCCUAGGUAGGCCUCCUUUCUGAAGAAAAAAUAUAUAUGGGAAAGAAGACUAGAUGAAAAAUCUUGGGGAAGACUUUGGUGAAGAAGAACAAGGUGAAUUUUAUCUGUUCAACAAAAUCAAGUUUGUUCCUGCACUUUGAUGUUAUGAAUCACUGUGUAGUAAGCAGGAGUGCUUCUCAAUCAAUAUUUUAUAUGUUUGUUAGAAAUUGAAGAAACAAAUAUCUAUCUGGCAGUCUAUAAUGGGUUUUGAGGCUGGUUCAUUGCUACACAUAUAGUGGAGAGCUUCCUAAAAAUUGGAGGGGACUUGUUGUAGCCUUAUAAUGUAUUAUCUCGGGUAUUACAUUUCUCAUUCCAUUUGCCAACAUUUUGAAUGAGUUUAAAUGUUAGCACUCUUAGACAAUUGACAAUGUUUAUUCAAAAGAUUAUACUGCAGUUCUACGUGAGUUUCUCAUCAUAAUUCUUUAAAUUUCAAAUCAGAUACAAGUGCAACAAAAUAUAGACAUGACAAGCUACUGAGCUCUCACAUUUGAAUGCUAAUGUUCCUUUGUAGACAUGGGUUU